UACGUAGGGAGCAAGCGUUGUCCGGAAUCAUUGGGCGUAAAGCGCGCGUAGGCGGCCCCGUAAGUCCGCUGUGAAAGUCAAAGGCUCAACCUUUGAAAGCCGGUGGAAACUGUGGGGCUAGAGUCCGGAAGAGGCGGAGGUGAAUUCCUGGUGUAGCGGUGGAAUGCGCAGAUAUCAGGAGGAACACCAAUAGCGAAGGCAGCUCGCUGGGACGGUACUGACGCUAAGGCGCGAAAGCGUGGGGAGCGAACAGG
rnacentral:rRNA from 1 species